UACGUAGGGUGCGAGCGUUAAUCGGAAUUACUGGGCGUAAAGCGUGCGCAGGCGGUUCGCUGUGUCCGAUGUGAAAGCCCCGGGCUUAACCUGGGAAUGGCAUUGGAAACUGGCGGGCUUGAGUGUGGCAGAGGGGGGUGGAAUUCCGCGUGUAGCAGUGAAAUGCGUAGAGAUGCGGAGGAACACCGAUGGCGAAGGCAGCCCCCCUGGGCUAACACUGACGCUCAGGCACGAAAGCGUGGGGAGCAAACAGG
rnacentral:rRNA from 1 species